AACGAACGCUGGCGGCAUGCCUAACACAUGCAAGUCGAACGAGACCUUCGGGUCUAGUGGCGCACGGGUGCGUAACGCGUGGGAAUCUACCCUUGGGUUCGGAAUAACAGUUAGAAAUGACUGCUAAUACCGGAUGAUGACGUAAGUCCAAAGAUUUAUCGCCCAAGGAUGAGCCCGCGUAAGAUUAGCUUGUUGGUGGGGUAAUGGCCUACCAAGGCGACGAUCUUUAGCUGGUCUGAGAGGUUGAUCAGCCACACUGGGACUGAGACACGGCCCAGACUCCUACGGGAGGCAGCAGUGGGGAAUAUUGGACAAUGGGCGAAAGCCUGAUCCAGCAAUGCCGCGUGAGCGAUGAAGGCCUUAGGGUUGUAAAGCUCUUUUACCAGGGAUGAUAAUGACAGUACCUGGAGAAUAAGCUCCGGCUAACUCCGUGCCAGCAGCCGCCGUAA
rnacentral:rRNA from 1 species